CCUACGGGUGGCUGCAGUGGGGAAUAUUGGACAAUGGGGGCAACCCUGAUCCAGCCAUGCCGCGUGUGUGAAGAAGGCCCUCGGGUUGUAAAGCACUUUCAGUGAGGAAGAACGCCUGGUGGUUAAUACCCAUCAGGAAAGACAUCACUCACAGAAGAAGCAUCGGCUAACUCCGUGCCAGCAGCCGCGGUAAUACGGAGGGUGCGAGCGUUAAUCGGAAUUACUGGGCGUAAAGCGCGCGUAGGUGGCUUGAUAAGCCGGUUGUGAAAGCCCCGGGCUCAACCUGGGAACGGCAUCCGGAACUGUCAAGCUAGAGUGCAGGAGAGGAAGGUAGAAUUCCCGGUGUAGCGGUGAAAUGCGUAGAGAUCGGGAGGAAUACCAGUGGCGAAGGCGGCCUUCUGGACUGACACUGACACUGAGGUGCGAAAGCGUGGGUAGCAAACAGGAUUAGAUACCCCGGUAGUC
rnacentral:rRNA from 1 species